GGCGGGGGGGGGAGGUUGGAGGGGAAGGUAGUCACGGAGGGGUGACAGCUACAGGAGGUGGAGGAUCCUGGAGGUAACAGCAAGGAGAGUACGCGACGGCGAGGGGCGGCUUCUGAGCCGACGCCGGGCGGUCAAGCCAGAGGAAAGCAGGGAACGCUGCGGCGUUGCGGGCUUGCCCCGCCCGGGCGGGGGGUGCCAUGUCUCGAGAGCGGCCCCCCCGCACCGACAUCCCCCGCAACCUGAGCUUCAUAGCCGCCUUAACAGAGCGUGCCUACUACCGCAGCCAGCGGCCCAGCCUCGAGGAGGAGCCGGAGGUGGAGCCAGGCGAGGGCGGGACGCGCCUUGGGGCCCGAUCCCGCGCUCACGCUCCGAGUAGGGGUCGCCGGGCCCUUUCUGCACCUGCCGGAGGCGGCGGGGUCCGGGCGCCCCGCAGCCGCAGCCCGGACACCCGUAAGAGAGUGCGUUUCGCCGACGCGCUUGGGCUGGAGCUGGCCGCGGUGCGCCGCUUCCGCCCCGGAGAGCUGCCCCGGGUGCCCCGCCACGUGCAAAUCCAGCUGCAGAGGGACGCCCUCCGCCACUUCGGGCCGUGCCAGCCUCGCGCCCGCGGCCUCCAGGAGGCGCGCGCCGCCCUGGAGCCGGCCAGCGAGCCCGGCUUUGCCGCCCGCUUGCAGGCGCAGCGCAUCUGCCUGGAACGCGCCGAGGCGGGCCCGCUGGGCGUGGCCGGGAGCGCGCGCGUGCUGGACCUGGCGUACGAGAAGCGCGUGAGCGUGCGCUGGAGCGCCGACGGCUGGCGGAGCCAACGCGAGGCACCCGCCUCUUACGCCGGCCCGGCACCGCCCCCGCCGCGCGCAGACCGCUUCGCAUUCCGCCUUCCAGCGCCACCCAUUGGGGGCGCCCUGCUUUUCGCCCUGCGCUACCGCGUGACUGGCCACGAGUUCUGGGACAACAACGGCGGCCGUGACUAUGCUCUACGAGGGCCCGAGCAUCCCGGGAGUGGCGGAAACCCGGAGCCCCAGGGAUGGAUCCACUUUAUCUGAGACGCCUGGGUCGACGGCGGGAAAAUCAAAGGCACCCAGGGGCUGGGGGAGCCCGAAGAUUUGGCGGGGAGGAAUGAAAGAAACGGAGAUUGGCUGGGAGCUGUCCAAGAGAGUCAAAAGGGGUGGAGAACCUACUUCCUUUUCUCCAAGACCAUGAUUCAUCCACCUUCCUCCCUCAGGCUCCUUCUUGACAGUCUUCUAGAAGGGAGAAGAGUGAAAAGAAGCAGUUCCUGAUGCAGAUGAACAGCCGCUCCCAGGUAAACCAGCUCCCCACACCCUUUUCUAUCUAUUACUAGUUUCUCAAAAAUGUCUGAAUCCCCCUCUUAUUACCGAGUCAGAGAGUGCAUGCAUACAUGCCCAUACAUGCAUUCGGAACAGAGUAUGGGGCAUAUUACCAGGCCCCUCCUUUCCAAAGCUUUAGUCCUUUGAAGGAAGAUGGCCAAAAGAGAGGAACCCCGAGUCGCUCCUCAAAGAAGUGCCGGUUUAAACAGCAUCCUUACGUGAAGAAGAAAACAAAGAAUUUCAUGCAACUUGUGGAUCACCUUCAGGUCAAAGUUCCAGCAAAGUGAAGAAAGAACCUCCUGGAAGCCACCAAGCAAUGCGCUUUUUAGUCAUCAAUGAAGAGCCCAAGGAAGGAUGAUGGAGAGGGAGCCUAGGUCGGGGCUCAUUGUAUACUAAUCUCUUGCCUAAUGUGUUUGCACUAUUGUCAUGUCGUAUUAACAAUCGUAAUAGCUCA